rnacentral:rRNA from 1 species
GCUUACAAGUAGUCAGAGCCCGUUAAUGGGUGAUGGCGUGCCUUUUGUAGAAUGAACCGGCGAGUUACGAUUUGAUGCAAGGUUAAGCAGUAAAUGUGGAGCCGUAGCGAAAGCGAGUCUGAAUAGGGCGUUUAGUAUUUGGUCGUAGACCCGAAACCAGGUGAUCUACCCUUGGUCAGGUUGAAGUUCAGGUAACACUGAAUGGAGGACCGAACCGACUUACGUUGAAAAGUGAGCGGAUGAACUGAGGGUAGCGGAGAAAUUCCAAUCGAACCUGGAGAUAGCUGGUUCUCUCCGAAAUAGCUUUAGGGCUAGCCUCAAGUGAUGAUUAUUGGAGGUAGAGCACUGUUUGGACGAGGGGCCCCUCUCGGGUUACCGAAUUCAGACAAACUCCGAAUGCCAAUUAAUUUAACUUGGGAGUCAGAACAUGGGUGAUAAGGUCCGUGUUCGAAAGGGAAACAGCCCAGACCACCAGCUAAGGUCCCAAAAUAUAUGUUAAGUGGAAAAGGAUGUGGCGUUGCCCAGACAACUAGGAUGUUGGCUUAGAAGCAGCCAUCAUUUAAAGAGUGCGUAAUAGCUCACUAGUCGAGUGACACUGCGCCGAAAAUGUACCGGGGCUAAACAUAUUACCGAAGCUGUGGAUUGUCCUUUGGACAAUGGUAGGAGAGCGUUCUAAGGGCGUUGAAGCAUGAUCGUAAGGACAUGUGGAGCGCUUAGAAGUGAGAAUGCCGGUGUGAGUAGCGAAAGACGGGUGAGAAUCCCGUCCACCGAUUGACUAAGGUUUCCAGAGGAAGGCUCGUCCGCUCUGGGUUAGUCGGGUCCUAAGCUGAGGCCGACAGGCGUAGGCGAUGGAUAACAGGUUGAUAUUCCUGUACCACCUAUA